rnacentral:siRNA from 1 species
AUUGUUGUCCCAGUGCAUAGAAUA